rnacentral:rRNA from 1 species
CGAACGCUGGCGGCGUGCUUAACACAUGCACGUCGAACGGAAAGGCCCUGCUUUUGUGGGGUGCUCGAGUGGCGAACGGGUGAGUAACACGUGAGUAACCUGCCCUUGACUUUGGGAUAACUUCAGGAAACUGGGGCUAAUACCGGAUAGGAGCUCCUGCUGCAUGGUGGGGGUUGGAAAGUUUCGGCGGUUGGGGAUGGACUCGCGGCUUAUCAGCUUGUUGGUGGGGUAGUGGCUUACCAAGGCUUUGGCGGGUAGCCGGCCCGGGAGGGGGACAGGCCACAUUGGGACUGAGGUACGGCCCAGACGCCUACGGGAGGCAGCAGGGGGGAAUAUUGCACAAUGGGCGGAAGCCUGAUGCAGCAACGCCGCGUGCGGGAUGACGGCCUUCGGGUUGUAAACCGCUUUCGCCUGUGACGAAGCGUGAGUGACGGUAAUGGGUAAAGAAGCACCGGCUAACUACGUG